UCUCCCUUCCCUCUCUCUGCUCUCACGUCUCUCUCUCCCUCGCCUCUCUCACGCCGCCGUCGACAUGAGGAGCGCAAUGCGCCGUCUCCGCCCCGUGUUCUUCCUCUGUCCUCCCUUUCUCCAGCCCAAGCCACGACCACACCGCCGCGCCCGCCUUCUCCUCAUUGGGAACAAGCAGAGGAGGAGGAGCGUGGGCCGCAGAGACGACGAGGUGGCCGAGCUGCCCGUGGUGUCGUCGCCGUUCCUCAUGACUCAGCGGGCCGGAGGUGUGCCGGCCGCAGGAGGAGUGCGCGCUGGGGAUGUGGCGGGCCAAGGGUCGCUCGCCAGCGCCGCCCGCUGACCGUCAGAUCCGAGUGCAGCCUCUUCGACGACCUCCCGUGCACGCCACCGCUGGCGACGGUGAGGACCUCGCCCUCUGUUCCCCGGGGCCGUCCACUAUGCACCGUCAGUUCGACCAAGGAGCGACAGAGGCAGAGGCGCAGGGCGACCAGCGCCCCACGCAGGCACUAGAUGCGGCGCUCCUCCGUCUCUCCUCCUUCUGCGUCUGCUGCAGGAGACGAACAUACGUUGCUGGUCGCCGGCUUGGCCUGCAAGAGGAUGCUCUCCUGCUCUAACUUGCUCACAUGUUAGUGUUUCACCAAUGAAGAUGUAUAUUCAAGCCUCUGUCUUCAUAAACAACAACUCGUCCUCCCUUCCCCUUGGGACGUGCUGUUUGUGGAGAAGUCUGAGGUGAGACGCUAUGUGCCCAAAUUUCCUUUUUUUUGUGUCAAUUAUUAGGUGCCACGUCCCUGUUCUUUCCUAGGCAUGAAUGGUUGUUUCAGUGAUUUGUAGAGAACUCUCAGGUCAACAAGUAAUUGUGUUGUUUACGAAGAUGUAGACUUGCAGUUGCUGGUAGCUUCACUAGCCGAACAUACUUUUUAAUCAGUCUUUUUGAAGCCCCUCCGGUAAGAUCUUUUAGAUUUGAAGUGAUUAAACUUUGGUAAUGAAACCAAGUACUACCUUGACAUACUUGACUCUUUAAUUUGGCUUAGCUUCAAAUGAAGUGGAUGAUAUACAUGAAUACAUGAUGCUUAGCUGUUGGUCGUCUGUGGUGUGCCACUGCAACUCAUAGAGGGGAGGAAGGUGAGGCGGAUAGGGAGAUGGAUUUGGGAAGAACAAAGGAUGCCAUAUAGUUUGUUUUGGAUCUGAUGCCACCGUUCUGUUUUGUUAUUAAGUAGAGGUAGCAAGGGAGAUGGAUAGGGAAGAACAAAGGGUGUUAUUUAUGACAGGCACUGGAAUAUAAAUAGUAUGAUGCUAUCAGGAGACGUAGCAGAAUCCAUAGAAACUUAAUGAAAUAGUUAAAAUAUCAUGAUGCCAGUGUCACCCAGGAUGAUAGUGCACAGUGAUUCUUACAGUAAACUGAUAUGUGGUGCAAGGGAUCAUACAUAGCUGCAAGGGCACCAUAAAUGCCUUUUAGAGAUUAUUAUUGGAAACUACAGAUUCUUUGUACCAAUUAAUUAUUUUAAACAGCCAGUCCCAGUCGUCUACAAGAUCCUACUGUAUUUGAUAUAUUUAUCAUGGUUUGUAAAUGUGCCCUCAGAUCGUAUUUCCUAUGUUGGUAAUGCAGAUUCUGACUCGGGAAGUGAUUCUGAAAGCGAAUCAGAGAAGGUCGGCAGCGCAGCAAGACUUGCGAAGGUGCUUUGGCAAUUUUUUACUGGGUGAUCCUUCGGUUAAGGUAACUGAAGAUAGUUUACUGUUGAGUGAGCCCUUUAUAUUCUGGCGGAGUUACUGAGAAAGGAGGUAAAUGAAGCGCCAACUAUUACCAGCAAAAAUCAAUGUGGAGUUGCAGUUCCAUGCUGUCGUCAUCAUUCAGGGAUGGAUGACGAGCAGCUGAGUUUGCUGCCAUUGGAUUCAUUAAACGGGAGGUCAAUAUGGUUGGCUUCUGCACUAUGGACUUUGCAAAGGUAUAGUAGAUGUACUGAUAGUCUGAUACAUUUCUUCAACCUCGGCGCUUUACACGUUCGUUGUUUACUUCGAUUGAUGGCAGUUCAUUUUUUUUUGACUUGGUGAACGUUCUCAUGGAACUGAAAGUUUCCAUAAAAGAUGGAUAUCUUCACUUCAUGCCUUACUUCUCUUGCAUAGAUUGGAUACUAAUUUUCAGGUGUUCAGGGAAAUAUUUUUGAACUGGUAUAUUUAUAUUUGUUUGUAGCAUACUAAGUUAAUCUAACUUGGCUUUACUUUAGCCUGCAUAAAGUUGGUAAAUGACAGUCUUUGCUUUAAUUUUCCUGAUUCAGAGGCAGGAACUAUCAUAUGAUGAUAUUCUCCUCAUAUUAUUUUCUUUGUUCUCCCUAAUUUUAAUGCACUACAGAAGGUUGGUUGUCUCCUCACAGAUUUUCAGACUGUUGAUGGGCAAAACGUUUCUAUGGAACACAAUUAUUACAACACCAAGAUCAGAUGCUCGGAUAGUUCUUGCUAUUGCUUCUUUAGGGGUCACACCUUUGCUAUUGCUUCAAGUUACCUAUAUAAAUUUGUGGUGAUACCCGAUGUUCUAU